rnacentral:rRNA from 1 species
UACGGGGGGGGCAAGCGUUGUUCGGAAUUACUGGGCGUAAAGGGCUCGUAGGUGGCCAACUAAGUCAGACGUGAAAUCUCUCGGCUUAACCGGGGAACUGCGUCUGAUACUGGAUGGCUUGAGUUUGGGAGAGGGACGCGGAAUUCCAGGUGUAGCGGUGAAAUGCGUAGAUAUCGUAAGGAAGACCAGUGGCGAAGGCGGGUCUCUGGACAGUUCCUGACGCUGAGGCACGAAGGCCAGGGGAGCAAACGGG